CUGGACGCUGCAGUUACCCUCCCACUUCUCUAACCUGCCGAUCACAAUGAACUGUUUGAUUCCCUGAACCAGCCUCUCUCCCUGGACCCGACCCGAGCCAACUAUUCCUGCCAGCAGUGUUUUUCAAUAAAUGUAUCUUUUAUUUCACAUUG